rnacentral:pre_miRNA from 1 species
AGCCUUCUGUAUCCGUGCUGAGAUUUCGUCAUACACCAGACCACAAGGGCUGAUGAGACGUGGUCUACACGCU